rnacentral:rRNA from 1 species
GACGUAGGGCGCGAGCGUUGUCCGGAUUUAUUGGGCGUAAAGAGCUCGUAGGCGGCUUGUCGCGUCGACUGUGAAAACCCGCGGCUUAACUGCGGGCCUGCAGUUGAUACGGGCAGGCUAGAGUUCGGUAGGGGAGACUGGAAUUCCUGGUGUAGCGGUGAAAUGCGCAGAUACCAGGAGGAACACCGGUGGCGAAGGCGGGUCUCUGGACAGUUCCUGACGCUGAGGCACGAAGGUCAGGGGAGCAAACGGG